UCCUACGGGAGGCAGCAGUGGGGAAUAUUGCAUAAUGGGGGAAACCCUGAUGCAGCGACGCCGCGUGAGUGAAGAAGUAUUUCGGUACGUAAAGCUCUAUCAGCAGGGAAGAAAAAAAGUCCUUUGGACUUUGGACGGUACCUGACCAAGAAGCCCCGGCUAACUACGUGCCAGCAGCCGCGGUAAUACGUAGGGGGCAAGCGUUAUCCGGAAUUACUGGGUGUAAAGGGAGCGUAGACGGCUGUGCAAGUCUGGAGUGAAAGGCGGGGGCCCAACCCCCGGACUGCUCUGGAAACUGUAUGGCU
rnacentral:rRNA from 1 species